rnacentral:lncRNA from 1 species
UUUUUUUAUUAUAAUCAUUUUAUGCAUCUAGCAAGUUACUUAGUUUAAAAAUAUUUCAUAUCAAAACCUUGCAACAUAAUUCAAUCUUUCUUUAAAUUUUGGAUUGAUUAUGACUCUGCUUAUUUUUGAAAUAAAUUAUAAAGUACUAUCUCCUAACCUAUCGUUAGUGGGAAAGUCAAAGGAACUACGAGGUCUAGUUCCAAUUUUUUAAACCCGACGCGUCCCCGGAAGUACCACUUCCCAUGAA